GCACUGUUGACGAGUCCCAAACAAAACGAAACAGCUGUCCAGCGC
rfam:Echinostoma caproni strain Egypt genome assembly, scaffold: ECPE_scaffold0013747